rnacentral:rRNA from 1 species
AAAGUUACUCCGGUGGAUCACUCGGUUCGCGGGUCGAUGAAAAACGCAGUGAAUUGCGAUAAGAAGUACGAAUUACAGAUAUUACGAGUACCAUGUUU